GAGUGCAAACUCUCCAACCAUUGUUUAUCUACCUAUUUUUUGCUUCUCCGGCAGGCGGUUCCAGGGAGGGACCGAGCUUAUGGCCUCAGCCUAAGCACCUGCCGAAGGGGUACCUACUGCUCUAUAUUAUACUGUCUGAGAAAACAAAAACAAGUUAAAACUUUCAACAACGGAUCUCUUGGUUCU
rnacentral:misc_RNA from 1 species